AAUCCUUUUUUUCAGGCCUAAUGAAAUGCUGUCUGUUAUGAAACCUCUGAUCUGUCUGGGAGCCUCCACCGGUGACUUUGGAUUAAUCUUUGCAUUAUUAUUCUGAAUUCCUGUGCACCUCUACUGGGCCAUAGAACUCUUGUGCAUAGUGGAGUAAGGGCUCCAAGAUUUGGGUAAGGAAAUGGAGCCUCACACGGGUGAGGCGGCUCCCAGGGUCACACCUGGCGGACAGCAGGUCUGAGCGCUUCUGCGCUCCGAGCCAGCACUUUCUAUGGACCCUCCCUGUUAGCCUCUCCUAUCGCUGCCUUGUCUUCUCUUCUCCUGGAGCAGGAAGUUGGAGUUCAAACCGCUUCGUGAUGUCACUGGACAGGUCCUCGGUGCGAGGCAGGGUCCAGACGGGCCCGCCCACUCCGACGGGAACGGAGGACGGGGAGACCCAGCGCGGGGCGAAGGCGGAGCCAGUACAGCCUGUCAGUCGAUCCCGUGGGCCAGCCUGUCAGCCGGUACUACCAACCCGUCAGUCAGUCAGUCAGCCAGCCUGUCAGUCAAUGUCAGUCAAUCCCAUCGCUGUCCUGUCAGCCGAUCCGGUGAGUCCAUCGGCAGGCAGUCGAGUCCACAGCGGUUUUCCCCUCAGUCCCUCAGCGGUGGUUGACUGUCUUGCUGGGCGGCAGGGGGGCCAUCCCGGUGUCCUCGUCCCCAGCGUCCCCUGUGCUGGCCCUGCGCAGGGUGAGGGCGGGUGACGGGAGGAAGCGGGCGGGCCUCUGGGAGGAGGGGCAAAUGUCGGGGAAAGGGUCUGGGGCGGAGCUCGGGUGGCAGAGCCAGGCCCGUGUUCGGGGGGCUGAGCCCGGAGGCGCCGCCCAGCCUGCCCUUGCUGUGCAGAUGGGCUUCUGACCCGCGUUGUAGGCCUAAGCUGCUCGCCUCCUUGGACGUGGGAGCCCGUCUCGGGGUGGCCCAGAGCCUGUCUUCCAGGGGCCUCACCGCGCAAGGGGGCUCCCGGCCUGCGUGGAGAGAAGACUCCUAGCUUCUGGGCUUGGCACUGCUUCUGCCGCGCAGUGUCCUUGCGGAAGCCGCUUAGCCAUCCUGGGCUCGGUGUGCCGGUGCCCCUCUACCAAGUUGAGACAACCUCCGCACCGCCAGCGACUCCCCACCUCUACUCCACACUGUGGUUGGAAAUGACACCGUGGAGGUGAAGGCCCACGUGUGAAGAGGUUACGUCGUUUUUCUGAGGUGAGGGAGGGAGCAUGGAAGAAAGAAGAGGCAGAGGUGGCUUGAACCUCUGGGUUACCGGGACGCUGGCCCGUCACCUCCACCUGGGGGCCCCAGGGUUCUGGCCUUGGCUGUGCGACUCUGGGCAAGUCCCUGCUUCUCUCUGGGCUUCUGUAACAGGAGUGUGGAUUCCAUGAUCUCCAAGGCCUGAGACUCGAGUGGAAGUAAAAUUCCUGAGGGGGGAGCUCCCUCCAAGAACACUGGAAUUCUGACCAGCCACAGUGUAGGGAUCGGGGAAAGACUUGCUAUUUCCGUGUGGUAAAGGGAAAGGUUAAAGUGCCUGGCCACGCGUCCAGACCACUGGGGGUGGGAGUAGGUACUGGGGAGGGUGGUAGCUGGGUUGCAGGAGUCAGAAGUCUUCCCUCAGCCCAAUAGGGAUAAGCUCUUGGGGCCCUGCUGGGAGGAGGUCUCUGUUGACCCUGGCAGAGGGAGGGGAGGAAAUGGACAAACCUCAGCCAUGCCCUGGGGGCAGUGGUCUUCCUUCUGCUCCAGUCUCUUCCCUUACUUCAAAGCUGGGUCCCCAGAUCGCAUCAUGCCCAGGCCUCCUCAGUGGUCCAGUGAGGUGGGAGAUGCAGUUCCUGGAAGCUGGAGGAGCCCAGACAAAGCAGGCUUCUCGUAGGGAUCUGGUGGGAUAGUUGUACUACGUGGCUUACUGGGCAUGACUGGGAGGCACCAGGAAGAGUUGGUUAUUCCUUCAGCAAGUAUACUGUGUGUGUGUGUGUGUGUUUUAAAAGAUUUUAUUUAUUUAUUCAUGAAAGAUACAGAGAGAGAAAGAGGCAGAGGCAGAGGCAGAGGGAGAAGAAGGCUCCCUGUGGGGAGCCCGAUGUGGGACUCGAUGUCAGGACCCCAGGAUCACGACCUGAGCCAAAGGCAGACACUCAACCACUCAGCCACCUGGGUGCCCCUCAGCAAGUAUAUUGGACAUCCAUCCCAUGCCAGGCUUUGUGCUAGGCAGUGCAUGGCAAGAAUGAACUGUACAGAUGUUACCCCUGUUUACGAAGUGCAGAGUAUAUAGAGGUGUUAGGAGCAAUCCAAGAAAGACAAAAAAGAGGGAAAAAAGUCAACACAUUGGCUAUAUUUAAAAUUGUGUUAUGAAGGUAGCAAAGAGGAUACUGAGGUAGAAAAUCAGUAGGGCCAUUUGGGAAGGUUCUCUGGGCAGGUGACACCUAAUGUAAGACCUGAGAGAGAAGGAGCAAGCCAUGGAGUGGAGACAGUGUUCCAGAAUGAGGGAAUACCAUUCAUUCAUUCAUUCAUUCAUUCAUGUAUGCCCAUGUUACUAUGUGCCAGGUAUUUUUCUAGAAUAGAGAAAGAGAGAUGAACAAUAGAAGUUAAAUCCUUUCUCUCAUAGAGUUUAUGUUAUAGUGGAAGGAGACAGAAAAUGAACAAUUCCAGGGAGUGAUGAAUGCUAUGAAGAAAAUGAAAACAACAUUUGAGAUAGAAAAUGACUAAGUAUGAGAGGAAUAUGAUAGAUAGGGUGGUAAGUAAGGGAAGGCCACUCAGAGAUCAAAUAGUGAGAAAGAGCCAGCCAGGCAAAGGUCUGGAGGAAGAACAUUCCAGACAGAGGGAGCAGGAAGUGGGAAUGAAUUUAGCAGGUUUGAAGCAUGGCUGAUGGGAGAGUGAUGGGCAGUGAGGUGGUGGGAGCAGGUAAUGAAGGCCAUGGCAAAGCUAGGUGAGUUUGGAUUUAUUAGAAGGUACUGGGAAGCUGGUGGAGGGAUGUGGGCAGGGGAGAGAUCUCAUAACUCUGGCUGCUCAGUGUGGGUGUGUAGUGAGAGGGUGGGAAGGUAGGAGUGGAAGCAGUUAAGACGCUACUCUAAUAGUCCAGGCAAGAUAAUGUUGGCCCGGACCAGGGUAGUAGCAGGGGAGAUGGAGGCAGGUGAACAGGUAUAAGUAUGGGCUGGAUCGAAAGGAUUUGCUAUUUGGAUGUGGGGCAGAGGUGAAGGAAAAGGAUGACUCUUUGGAUUCUAAUUCCAGCACCUGGAUGGAUGCUGAUGCCAUUGACUGAGUUGGAGUGGGUUGUAGGGAUAGGUUUUGGGGUGGAAAAAGAGAAUGCAGUUUUGGAGAACUUAACAAAGAUUUCUGUUAGGCAAGUGGAGAUGACAGGCAGGCAGCUGGUCAGACCCUGGAGCUCGGGGGAGAGGAUUGGUCUAAAAGUGGUGUUUGGCUUGGGGCACAGGACAGUGCUGGUCAGGCCAGCAGGGGCAGUGCUGUUCAAGGAAUUGGACAGCUAAGCUGUCCAGCAUUGUGGCCACGAGCCAUAUGCAGCUUUGGGCACUUGACAUAUAGCUUGCCUGAAUUGAGAUGUCCCCCAAGUGUAAAAUACAUACCAAAUUUGGAAGAUUUACUAUGGAAAAAGAAUAUAGAGUGUCUCAUUAAGAAUUUUAAAAAAUUGAUUACAUGUUGAAAUGUAUUAAAUGAAAUAUAUUAUUAAAAUUAA